GAGGCAGAGGCAGACAGAUUUCUGAGUUCGAGGCCUGCCUGGUCUACAAAGUGAGUUCCAAGACAGCCAGGGCUAUACAGAGAAACCCUAUCUCGAAAAAACAAAACAAAAAACCAAAACAAAAUAAAAAAAUAGGGAUGGCAUGCUAGUAUUCUGUGUAAGACUUGUGUUUAGCACCACCUAUAAAAAACCACCACACUACAAGCAAGAUUUGGGUUAUUUUACUUAACUAGUCCCUCAAAGAGAGAAAGAAUUUGUAAUUUAGCACUAGUGUUUCAGUGUGUUGACCAGGUUGGCAUCACCUCUUCUGGCUCCCCUUGGCUUUCUGUUUUGCAGUGUGGGAGAUUGAACCCGGUACUUUAUGUAUGCCAGCAUUAAAUGUUCUAUUACUCAGCAAUAACCCAGGCCUGACCUCAUAGUGUGUGAUUUCCUUGUCUCAGACUCCUGAGUGCUGGGAUUAUAGGCAAACACCACCAUGCUUGGCUGUACAACAUUAGAGGGAAAACCCAGUUUUAAACCACAUUUGUUUCUUUAUAAAGGAAAUGAUGAGAACUUGAGUCUUGCUUUUUAGUUUACUAUUUCCUAGUACUCAGCUACAGUACUGUUU
rnacentral:lncRNA from 1 species